rnacentral:tRNA from 1 species
UCCCGGAUAGCUCAGUUGGUAAAGAAUCCGCCUGCAAUGCGGGAGACGCUGGUUCAAUUCCUGGGUCAGGGAA